ensembl:lncRNA
GCAGGAGGAGCUGUGAACCUGCUUCCACUGCAGGCACGCAGCCUCCUCCUAAGUCCCUGCAAGUGGGAGUAGCCAAUGCAGCCGCUCACCUGCAGGUCAGAGAUCUAGAGAGCCCGCGAGAGGAAAGGGGCUGGACCCUCAUCUCUGCUCAAAGCAGAUGGGAGCGUCUGCCCCCGUGCCCCCAGUGCUGCCGACCCCUGCAGUGUCCCCUCCAGUGUCCGCGAGUAAUGGGUUCGAGGCUCUCGCAUGGGAGAGGGAUGAAGGUCUGCAAAGUAGCCCCAACUCAUGCCCUGAGAAGCUCGUUGAGAAUGCAGGGAGUAACAAGCAUAGGGUGCGCGGCCAGUCAGGGCACUGCAUCAAUAGCAGUGCCACCAAAAAAGGGCAGAGUGUCUUAAUGACUGGGUACUCCUUGCUGGGGGGCCCUGAGGCUCCCAUUUGCUGCCCGGAUAAUGUCUCCAGUGAGGCGUGCUCUGUUCCAGGGGCACGUGUUGUUAGAGACAUUGGGAAGGCUCUACCAUGGCUCAUGAAAGCAGAAGACUGCUAUCGUUUUACUGUCGUUCAGGCUGUGUCCCAGGAUGCUGCAAUGAGGAAACUAAAGAAUGUUAAAAAGGACUUUGUGUUCCUUGGAAAGAUGUUGAAGGGAUCAGGGGUGCAGGCAGAGUUCUCCUCUGUCCUUCCGAUGGGUAGCUGGGACCCAGGAAGAUGGAGGAGAACAUCAGGUGAACGACUGGCUGGGGGGGUGGUGUCCUGAUCGGGGCUUUGGGUAUUUUGAUCUCGGGCAGGCCUUUGAGAAACUGGGCAUGUGGGCUCCUGAUGGACUCCGACUGAGCAAGCGGGGCAGAAGUGUGCUGGGGAACAAGCUCUCUGGAUUGAUUACCAGGGAUUUAAACUAGGUCCAGAGGGGGAAAAAAAGAAAGUGUCCACAGUUUACAGGCCAGUCUGGCCUGGCCCCGUGACUGGUGAGGCGGGAGACCCACAGACCCACGCCCCGAGAAAGGGGGAAGGGGGAGAGGGG